rnacentral:rRNA from 1 species
UACGUAGGUGGCAAGCGUUGUUCGGAAUUAUUGGGCGUAAAGCGCGUGUAGGCGGCUUUGCAAGUCGGGUGUGAAAGCCCUCAGCUUAACUGAGGAAGUGCGCCCGAAACUGCAUGGCUUGAGUACCGGAGAGGAUGGUGGAAUUCCCGAAGUAGAGGUGAAAUUCGUAGAUAUCGGGAGGAACACCGGUGGCGAAGGCGACCAUCUGGACGGAUACUGACGCUGAGACGCGAAAGCGUGGGUAGCAAACAGG